rnacentral:rRNA from 1 species
CCUACGGGAGGCAGCAGUGGGGAAUAUUGCACAAUGGGGGAAACCCUGAUGCAGCGACGCCGCGUGAGUGAAGAAGUAAUUCGUUAUGUAAAGCUCUAUCAGCAGGGAAGAAAAUGACGGUACCUGAGUAAGAAGCCCCGGCUAACUACGUGCCAGCAGCCGCGGUAAUAAGUAAGGGGCAAGCGUUAUCCGGAUUUACUGGGUGUAAAGGGAGCGUAGACGGCAGUGCAAGUCUGGAGUGAAAGGUGGGGGCUCAACCCCCGGACUGCCCUGGAAACUGUACGGCUGGAGUGCAGGAGAGGUAAGUGGAAUUCCUAGUGUAGCGGUGAAAUGCGUAGAUAUUAGGAGGAACACCAGUGGCGAAGGCGGCUUACUGGACUGUAACUGACGUUGAGGCUCGAAAGCGUGGGGAGCAAACAGGAUUAGAUACCCCAGUAGUC